ensembl:lncRNA
AGAAAGAGAGAGAGAGAGGGAGAGAGACUGAUAAAAGAGAGCGAGAGAGUGUGCGGCAAAGCCUGUUGACUCGGUGUAAGAAUGACUGCGUGAGUACUGGAUGAACAGAUCACACCCUCACACUUACACUGACGAGGAAAAGGCGGAGAGGAAAGCAGACCGAACGAGGAGAACGAAGAAGACGGGGAGAAAGGAGAGAGGAAGACAAAGAAGAAAGAGGCUAGCAGUACAGUCUCUCUGGUAGCUAUGGCUCAAGGCAUCUAUUCCCUACUCUUUCUGUGGGCUUGUAUAGAGACAGACAUGAGGACUCUGGGAGCUACAGUAUAGUAUAUCUUCAUGGAUUGGCUGGGCUCCUCUCCUUACAACCGGACAGCACAGCAACACAGGCAGCAUGGAGAUGAUGCCUGGGGGACACCAUAUGGCUCACCGUGGGCGAUUUUUAAACAACAGGCGGAGACCUCCCAAACACCCCAGAGCUUCCUGCCCUGCUUUGCUGAUGCUGCAACGGUACUGUGCUGGACCUCUCUCCUCUUCAGGGAAGCUGUACUCUUGUAUGGAUGUAUGAAAUACUGCCAACUGUAUUGCUGAAGUGCAAACUUUCAAAAUAUCCACGUACUGCUUCUCCCUCCUGUUGGAAGUCAACUGUAGCCUGUUCUUGUGUGUAUGUAGGAAAUACUACCCACUGUAACUGUAUUGCUAGAGUGCAAGCUUGUGGAAUUUCUCCAAGACCCCAUCCUCCUUGUUUCCCUGUUCAUGUUGUUUUUUAUCACUAAUGAUUUGGUUUCUGAAUUCUACAUUCGACCAGACCACAACCUCUGCUGUUAAUUGUUUAGAAUGUGACAGACAUGCAUGCACAAGUGAAAUGAGAUCAAGGACAGUUUCUUUCUCUCUCCAACCUGUGACCUAGGUAACCUGGGACUUCCCUACAUCCUACUUUCGUAACAGGCUGAUCUCACGCCAGGCCAUCGCAUUGCUCUUCAAACCACAAAUAGCCUACAACAGCUAUGUGCAGACAGUGACCUCUUCUGGUAGAAUGAAGACAAGUUGAAUGACCUCAUACACACUGAACAAAACACUAAAUUGCUCCC